UAGUGCGCGAGUCAUUGGGUGAACCUAAAGGCGAAUGAAAUUGAAAGCUGUAGCUUUUUUCAACCUAGGGAGGAUGAGCGCGUCAUGCCCAAAAGGCGGCGCUCCGCACUCCCGGGGCGUCUCAUUCUCAUUGCGAGACGAGGCGCACCCAGAGCGUACACGUUGGGACCCGAAAGAUGGUGAACUAUGCCUGGCCAGGACGAAGUCAGGGGAAACCCUGAUGGAGGUCCGUAGCGAUUCUGACGUGCAAAUCGAUCGUCGGAGCUGGGUAUAGGGGCGAAAGACUAAUCGAACCAUCUAGUAGCUGGUUCCCUCCGAAGUUUCCCUCAGGAUAGCUGGUGCUCAGGGAACGAAGAAUCUCAUGCGGUAAAGCGAAUGAUUAGAGGCCUUGGGGCCGAAACGACCUCAACCUAUUCUCAAACUUUAAAUGGGUGAGAUCUCCGGCAUUCUUGGACAUUGUUUAAUGAUGCCGGAGUCUCGGAUCCAGAGUACCAAGUGGGCCAAUUUUGGUAAGCAGACGGGGCCC
rnacentral:rRNA from 1 species